GGGUUUUGUGUAUGUCGACCAGGAACAAGGAAAGGAGGGAAGAACCCUAACUCCUCAAAAAUCUUCAAAAUUGGAAGGGGAAUUCAGCUCAAACCCGAUGCAUGAACCCUAAUAUAUGAUCAUCAAGGCUUGCUGAACAUGUGGAAUCAUGUCAAGAUGGAUGGGAGCGUUGAAGUCCAACGGGCUAAGAAGACUCAAUCAAGUAAGCGAACGCAAAUACGGAUACGCAAGGUAAAUCUAUUGCUUGAUGCGGCGCACCCGGACCGAGCACACACGACGUUGACCUUAAUACGCUUCCGGUUCAAGUUGUUUCUUUUGAAUGGGUCGAAACGUCCUUUUGUGUAGCAAAUGUUAAACUAGUUAUUAGGAUGAUGGUAGUAGUUUGAGGUUAAACUUUAUUUUGAAUAGUGUCAUAGAAUGUAUCUUGAAUGGUUUCGUUAAAAAGCAGGAAAAUGUUCACUUUUCGAAUGGGUCAUGUCAAAAUUUUUUCCAAACAUUUGUAUGAACUUUAUGUUAUUGUCAAAAGUAAAAAGUGGGCGUUUCAGAAUUUAAA